AACGAACGCUGGCGGCAGGCUUAACACAUGCAAGUCGAGCGCCCCGCAAGGGGAGCGGCAGACGGGUGAGUAACGCGUGGGAACGUACCCUUUGCUACGGAAUAGCUCCGGGAAACUGGAAUUAAUACCGUAUGUGCCCUACGGGGGAAAGAUUUAUCGGCAAAGGAUCGGCCCGCGUUGGAUUAGCUAGUUGGUGGGGUAAUGGCCUACCAAGGCGACGAUCCAUAGCUGGUCUGAGAGGAUGAUCAGCCACAUUGGGACUGAGACACGGCCCAAACUCCUACGGGAGGCAGCAGUGGGGAAUAUUGGACAAUGGGCGCAAGCCUGAUCCAGCCAUGCCGCGUGAGUGAUGAAGGCCUUAGGGUUGCAAAGCUCUUUCACCGGAGAAGAUAAUGACGGUAUCCGGAGAAGAAGCCCUGGCUAACUUCGUGCCAGCCGCCGCGGUAACAC
rnacentral:rRNA from 1 species